rnacentral:rRNA from 1 species
GCAAGUCGAGGGGCAGCGGGGAUAAGCUUGCUUAUCCGCCGGCGACCGGCGCACGGGUGCGCAACGCGUAUAGAAUCUGCCCUGUACUGGGGAAUAGCCCAGAGAAAUUUGGAUUAAUGCCCCAUGGUAUGUAUUAGCGGCAUCGCUUAUACAUUAAAGGCUACGGUACAGGAUGACUAUGCGUCCCAUUAGUUAGUUGGUAAGGUAACGGCUUACCAAGGCAGCGAUGGGUAGGGGCCCUGAGAGGGGGAUCCCCCACACUGGUACUGAGACACGGACCAGACUCCUACGGGAGGCAGCAGUGAGGAAUAUUGGACAAUGGGCGGGAGCCUGAUCCAGCCAUGCCGCGUGCAGGAAGACGGUCCUAUGGAUUGUAAACU